UCUCCCUUAGCUCAGUGGUUAGAGCUUCGAGCUUAUGUGGUUACCUUAUUUAAGUUCCGUUUCUCGGAAGUCGGCAGUUCAAACCUGUCAGGGAGAA